rnacentral:rRNA from 1 species
CCUACGGGCGGCAGCAGUGGGGAAUAUUGGACAAUGGGCGAAAGCCUGAUCCAGCCAUGCCGCGUGUGUGAAGAAGGCCUUCGGGUUGUAAAGCACUUUCAGUGGGGAAGAAAGCCUUGGGGCUAAUACCCUCGAGGAAGGACAUCACCCACAGAAGAAGCACCGGCUAACUCAGUGCCAGCAGCCGCGGUAAUACGGAGGGUGCGAGCGUUAAUCGGAAUUACUGGGCGUAAAGCGCGCGUAGGCGGUCUGAUAAGCCGGUUGUGAAAGCCCCGGGCUCAACCUGGGAACGGCAUCCGGAACUGUCAGGCUAGAGUGCAGGAGAGGAAGGUAGAAUUCCCGGUGUAGCGGUGAAAUGCGUAGAGAUCGGGAGGAAUACCAGUGGCGAAGGCGGCCUUCUGGACUGACACUGACGCUGAGGUGCGAAAGCGUGGGUAGCAAACAGGAUUAGAUACCCUGGUAGUC